CUGGAACAGAGCAUGUGGUGACUGAUGGAGAGCAUCAUAAGGAAGGUUCUGAAACAGAGCAUGAGGAUCAUAGUGAACCCACAACUUCAGAGACAGACUCCACAGAAUCUUUUCAAGAAGCAAUCUCAGUAACUAAACUGGCACCACCUUCUCCACCACCGCCACCACCGUCUCCCUCACCAUCAUUUCUCAAUAAGAAAGCUACUCCUCUCUCACAGCCACCUCCAUCGUCACCACAGCCAGGAAGAAAAACUCUUUCUCCUCCACCACCGCCACCACCUUCAAGAAGACAUGACUCUGGAGGUAAUAGUCCGACCACGCCGGCACCUCCAGCACCACCGGGCAGCGGAAGAACCUUGCGUGGAAAGAGAACAACUAGCAAACUUAGAAGAUCAGCACAGAUUGCUAAUCUCUAUUGGGUUCUCAAAGGGAAGCUUGAAGGCCGCGGCGUCGAAGGGAAGCCGUCAAAAGCAAGUAAAGGGCAAAACAAUGUUCCAGAUAAGUCUCCUGUUAAAGGUGCUAGAUCAGGAAUGGCUGAUGCACUUGCAGAGAUGACAAAAAGGUAAAAGACUUGCGUCACAAGUCAUCUCUUUAUGUCUUUUGAGUUUUUGACUCUUUUGUUUUUGUGUCACAGGUCGAGUUACUUCCAGCAAAUCGAAGAAGAUGUUCAGAAAUACGCAAAAUCAAUCGAAGAGUUGAAAUCUUCAAUACAAAAAUUUCAGACAAAAGACAUGAAAGAGUUGCUCGAGUUUCAUAGCAAAGUGGAAUCUGUUCUUGAGAAACUAACCGAUGAAACACAAGUACGUUGUCUUCAUGUCUGUUAGUGAUAUAAUAUUUAUAUAUAUGGUUCUAUAAACUAAACUUGGUUUGGCUCUCUAGGUUCUUGCGAGGUUUGAAGGUUUCCCUGAGAAGAAACUAGAAGCCAUAAGAACAGCUGGUGCCGUGUACAAGAAGUUAGAUGGGAUUCUAGUUGAGCUCAAGAACUGGAAGAUUGAGCCGCCACUAAACGAUCUUCUCGACAAGAUUGAGCGUUACUUCAACAAAUUCAAAGGAGAAAUCGAAACGGUGGAACGAACAAAAGAUGAAGAAGCUAAAAUGUUCCAGAGACACAACAUUAAUAUCGAUUUCGAAGUUCUUGUCCAAGUCAAAGAAACAAUGGUUGAUGUUUCAUCAAACUGCAUGGAGUUAGCAUUAAAGGUAUAUAUCACUGUUCAAGAGUAUGCUUCUUUUGUUCUUUAUCGGCAAAAAUCCCUAAUUUAUUUAUGUAGUUUAGCGUGGAAAAUUCGUCGUAUCCAGACAGCUAAUUUCUGGAAAAAAAAUCAACUGAUAUGAUGAAGUUUCGGGAGCUUUUACCUGUAGAUUGGAUUUGCAUCACCUAAAGAUUUCAAUAUGUCACACACACAACAUCAUGCAUGAGUCAUAGUAUCGACAUAAUCCAUCAAUUAAUUCAAGUGCCUGGAUACGAGUCGUACGACGUUGACUAGUAAAACCAAGUCGAGUGGAAAAUGUAUUUGCCUGACAAUACACUUUGAAUUGACUUAUAAAAUUAUAUCUUACAUAUCAAAAUACCAUCUAGAUAUUUCAAUAUCGACUGCGAGUCUAUUACGAUACUCGUUUUGAGUAGUGAUCAGUGUUCACAUUUUAUGAUCAAUUCUAUAUAUGAUAUUGUGUUAUUGAUUUAAUAAUUUCUAAAUACUAGUUAGAAUUUGAUAUUAGUUUUUAUUUACUACAUAUUUUUUUUUAAAAAAAUGAAACGUUUUCAGAUUCAAAGUAAAAAUACUUAAAAUAUAAACGAGCCUUGUUAUUUUUAAUGGAUGUGUACCACUUUUUUGCUCCAAAAAAGGAAGUCCUUGUUUGAAAUGAAAUCAUCACUACAAUGUACAAUCAGAUCGUUUUCGAUGGUUCUCCGGACCGAACACAAUUGCUAUGUUUUUAUCUCAAUAGUACUUUGUGUUUGGCUCAAAAGCUCAGAAGUUUAUUCACAUUUCUCUUCCUCUGUUUUUGUAUAUACAGUAUAGUAACAUGCUUAUUUUUCUUCUUCUUACAGUUCCUUUCUUCUUGCAUUUCUCAGUUCGUUGAGUUGAAUAUAUAAUUGAACUUGCUAGACCUAAUUUAGAAACUCCAAUUAUAAUCAACCGCUGAAAGAAAACAUAAGAAACCUAAGAAUAACAGCUAUGCUUCGAUUGAUUUAGCUCCUAUGAAUGACAAUUUUAAACCUUAUCUACUCUCUCCCUGCUUGUGCAAUUUUUAGCAAAACCUUCAGGAGAAGAAUUAACAGUGAUUAUAAUAGUCAACGAUUCCUAUCAUUUGAAACUUGUCUAAUAAUAACCAAAAGAGCUACAUCCAAAGAGAGAGAGAGAUCAUCUGCUGAAAAGGGUUGAAGAAAAGCAAUUCUUUCUUUCUUCGCACGUCUUCUUUUAAAAGAAUUACCUGAAAACAUAUUCAUCAAGAAAGAGAACUCUCUUUCUAAUGGAUUCUCCUGAUUAAAUCCUCUUUUGGUUGAGAAAUAAAUUUCUCGACUUCAUUACUCGCAAUGUCGAGCGGGAGGCUUUGCGGCUUCAAGCCAAUAACGUUCUGUCGCAAGCUCACAAGAUUGCAGGUUUGUCUUUUUACAAUAUAUGCCUCAAUUGUUUGUAUUAAACUGUAAAUGAAAACUCGAAUACAAACAAAAAGGUUGUAGUGUACUGUUUUCGUUGCAUUUUUCAGAAAUGUGUUUUCUAACAUUUGAAUUUUUUUUUCAAAUUGUUUUUGCAUGUAAAAUAUGCAAACGUUGACAUUUGCAUGUCAAUAAUAUAUACCCUAAUUUCUUCACUAUCACGUUUGCUUUUGCCUUAAAAUGCUAAAAUUCUAUUAAAGACAAGAUUUUUGAUUUGUUCGACUUUUACAUGUUUAAAGUUUAUUAAGGCUAUCCAAACUAUUUAAUUAAAUAAAAAAAGUUAUUAAGACUAAGAUUAUCAUUAUACUGAAACAAUCAAGGGUUUCUGAUGUUUUUAGGUUGCAAGAGGGCUUGCUCUAAAGAAACUUAUCAAGGGCAAACACGAUUUUAGACGUGCAUCAACAUCAAAGAACAAUGUCGAAAAAAAGAAGAGUAAAAAGAUCAAAAGCACAGCUUCACAGACACCUUCCGUUGCAGAAGCUUCUCCAAAGAGCUUCAAAUCUCCAAAACAAGCUACUGCUUCAGGCAGCGCGGUGUCUCCUUUGUCGGUACAGAAGAAACCAAACACACCGAGACACAACGAUUUCGAAGGUUCUUCACCAAAAUGUACAGCAAAUUUCAUAUUAAUGGUGGAACUGAGAAAAAACAUCUUCUCUUUCAGAGAUAUGAUUGACUUGCCUUCUCUUGAUGGUUCUCUAUCUGUCACCGAGGUGAUCAUUUCUCUUGACAUAACAUAUUAUUAUAUUAAGUAUUUAAAACUUGGGGCCAAGACGAAUAUUUCGUCCUGAUUUUAUCAAAAUUCUUCUUAUGUAUUUUUAUGUUUGUUUUGUAGAUCAUAACACAUACAAUGAAGGAUCUGCAAAAGCUUUCUCCAGAGAUUGUAACCAUUAACCAAUCUUUUGACAUGGAAGGAGCUGAGAUGGAUAAGGUACACAGAAGGGGUUUAAACAGUUUAUGAGUUCCAUAAUAAACAUUACUUUGCAAGAAAAAGAAAAAAAAGAAGUAAAUAAUAAUUUUUGAGUUAGGGUUAUUUGUUUUACUUGAUGAGUCUUGUUGAUCUGAUUGAUUGACUCCCAGAAAUGCCCCAAAAACAGAUGUUGAUUUUCUUCUACGAGGAUCUCAGAGCCAUUGGUGAUUCUUGGAUUAUGGAUAGUGACUGGAUUUAUCGGUCCAAGUACAGGAACAGUGGAGUUGGCAAGAACAAGUCAGAUCGUCUUGGUUUGUUUACUACAACCAACCAACACUUUGUUUGAAGGAUCUUGUUGAUAAACAACACUCUUCUUGAACUUUUCUUUUUGUUUCUCUUUGCAGUGGAACAUGUUUUAGCAGCUCUUGAUGGACUAAUCAAGAUGACAAAAGAAAGAUUUGGUAUGAUGGAUCUUGACUCUGAUGGAAGAAAGAGUUUUAAAGGUGUUCCAUCAGAAGCAAGAAGAAGCUUUAGAAGAUCUGUGUCCUAUUCAGAAAGCAACAACUCUUUUUUCCCUUCUCCACUAACACCGAGAUCGGUUAUUCCCGGGACAAUGAUGUCUAGUAGUAGCUCAACAUCUCCGAGUCUUUGGAACUUAAGAGCUCAAGCUUUGGAUAAGUUAAGCCCUGUUGAUUUGAAGCAGCUCGCGAUGCGGAUACUGUCGCGUAGAGACUCAGACAGCCUUCAAGAUCUUGAUCUCAAGAAUAUUAUAGAAGAAGAACAAGAAGAGAGUGAGAAAUUAGGAGAGGACGAUGAAGAUAACGACUCCUCUGUUUCAGAAACAGAGGAUCAUAGCAAAAGUUCUGAAACAGAGCAUGAGACUGAAGGAGAGCAUCAUAUUGAAAGUUCUGGAACAGAGCAUGUGGUGACUGAUGGAGAGCAUCAUAAGGAAGGUUCUGAAACAGAGCAUGAGGAUCAUAGUGAACCCACAACUUCAGAGACAGACUCCACAGAAUCUUUUCAAGAAGCAAUCUCAGUAACUAAACUGGCACCACCUUCUCCACCACCGCCACCACCGUCUCCCUCACCAUCAUUUCUCAAUAAGAAAGCUACUCCUCUCUCACAGCCACCUCCAUCGUCACCACAGCCAGGAAGAAAAACUCUUUCUCCUCCACCACCGCCACCACCUUCAAGAAGACAUGACUCUGGAGGUAAUAGUCCGACCACGCCGGCACCUCCAGCACCACCGGGCAGCGGAAGAACCUUGCGUGGAAAGAGAACAACUAGCAAACUUAGAAGAUCAGCACAGAUUGCUAAUCUCUAUUGGGUUCUCA
rnacentral:lncRNA from 1 species